rnacentral:rRNA from 1 species
AGUGAACGCUGGCGGUAGGCCUAACACAUGCAAGUCGAACGGCAGCACAGUAAGAGCUUGCUCUUACGGGUGGCGAGUGGCGGACGGGUGAGGAAUACAUCGGAAUCUACUUUUUCGUGGGGGAUAACGUAGGGAAACUUACGCUAAUACCGCAUACGACCUACGGGUGAAAGCAGGGGAUCUUCGGACCUUGCGCGAUUGAAUUAGCCGAUGUCGGAUUAGCUAGUUGGCGGGGUAAAGGCCCACCAAGGCGACGAUCCGUAGCUGGUCUGAGAGGAUGAUCAGCCACACUGGAACUGAGACACGGUCCAGACUCCUACGGGAGGCAGCAGUGGGGAAUAUUGGACAAUGGGCGCAAGCCUGAUCCAGCCAUACCGCGUGGGUGAAGAAGGCCUUCGGGUUGUAAAGCCCUUUUGUUGGGAAAGAAAAGCAGCAGGUUAAUACCCCGAUGUUCUGACGGUACCCAAAGAAUAAGCACCGGCUAACUUCGUG